GAAUAAGAAUUGGUGAGGCUUGGAAAAUAGAAGAGGACAGAGGAGAUGGAAGAGGAUUGCUGUGAAAUAGAAGGAGAGGAGAUAGGAGAUGUUUGAGGAAAGGAGGAGGAUUUUGUUCGCUGUAAUGGAUAUUUUUUGAAUGAAAUUUGGAACAACUGUAUUUAGAUGUUAUUGAUAUUUUGGACAUCAAGUCAUCAAGUUUCAUUUAUUUGUGUAUUAUACAAGCCUAUCUAUUGGUGGAAAUGUAAAAUGGCAGCUGGUAUAACACCUUGUAUGAAUUAUUAGGAACUCCAAAGAACUUUUGACAGAAUUUAAACUGGGAAGAAGCUCAUAAAAGACUAGUUUAGGCUGCAGUAGUUCCAGGACCUUAAAUUGGCUGCCACAACACAGAUAUCUUUCAAAAAUGAUAUCUGUUCGAGUGAUGUACUGGGCGUUAACAGUUGCUGUUACAAAUCUGCAAAUGAGUUACCACUGUGCAUAAGUUUGAGGAAUGUCAAGAAAUGUUUUGAAUGAAACGAUAGUGAAAAACUUGUCCACAAAUGUCAAUUUCAAGGUACAAUCAAUAGUACUUAGAUUGAUUGGCCUCCACUACCAUUAAGCUAUAAAAAUGUCAGCAAUACAGAUUGGUAUUAAUGGACGUUUUGACAGCUGUUUCCAGUCCAAGUUCCAGUUUUAAUGGAAAAUCUUUAAUGGACACAGAAAAAUGCCAUUUACUGGAUUGACUUCUACACCUGUUGCCUUUUAAUAAUGGUAUACAACGCGACAAUUGCUGUUAGAAGUUAACAAGUAGUACUAGUUGCAGAUAAUAUAUUAUGGUGGACAUCAAAAAGCUUUAAAUGGAAUGAAACUUGCAGGAAAAAUAAAGGAAACCCAUUUUAGACUGUAUACGUAAUAGUUGUUAGAGUGGAUGCAGUCCUUCAUCAAUGUGAGCUGAACAAAUUGAUGGUAAUGGACAUUUUGACAGCUGCUGUCACAACUCAACGAACAAGUUGCAGCUUUGAAGGAACAUUUUUGAUUGGAUACAGAAAAAUGUCAGUCGUUUCAGGAUGUAAAGUUAAUAGAACCAGGGUUAGGCUCGACAUCCGUUGCCUUUUAA